GAAAUGCGAUAAGUAAUGUGAAUUGCAGAAUUCAGUGAAUCAUCGAAUCUUGAACGCACAUUGCGCCCGCCAGUAUUCUGGCGGGCAUGCCUGUUCGAGCGUCAUUACAACCCUCAGGCCCCCGGGCCUGGCGUUGGGGAUCGGCGGAAGCCCCCUGCGGGCACAACGCCGUCCCCCAAAUACAGUGGCGGUCCCGCCGCAGCUUCCAUUGCGUAGUAGCUAACACCUCGCAACUGGAGAGCGGCGCGGCCACGCCGUAAAACACCCAACUUCUGAAUGUUGACCUCGAAUCAGGUAGGAAUACCCGCUGAACUUAAGC
rnacentral:misc_RNA from 1 species